CCAAAUCAAGACUGUUAGGGAGUUUAUCCAUCCCAGAAGAACUGUUCUGAGCUGUUUGCAGACUGAGGAAUACGGAUUUGCAUCCGUUACAUAUAGCACAGGAAAGAAAGAUUCCUCACAAGCCCGAAGACUCUUGGGGAUUUCCAGAAUUUCUCUCUGAAAUGGAUGGGUGUCACCCAAACAGUUGCUUAGAUCAGCUUCCCAUAAGAAGUACCCAGAUGGGAAGUAAGCUGCCACCUUUCAGGCCUGGCUUUCAGUCCUGCUGCUGGAGUUGGAUCUGUGCUGAAGGAAAGGAGAAGGGAACCUCUUGUCCAGCGGAGACACCAAGCAACUGUCAGAGAACCAAGAGCAGGAAAGAGCUGCUUGGACGCAAUAAAAAAUAUAAAUAAAGUUGAAAAAAAUCUGUGAAGUGUGGAUGAAGGAGGAAAAACAACAGAUCCAGACUCCCCGGUACCAUUCAGUGCUGGCAGAUGCCAAACAUAACAAAUAAGUUUUAUAACAAGCUUUAAGCACUAAUCACCUUCUUCAAGAAAACUGUGAGGUAAGAAAAAACGAGUGUUGAAUUCUGUGCUGUCUCGCUAAGCACUUUUGAAAAAUCCAGAAAACGUGGGUAUCUCAAAUACAGUGAGGGAUCAUAUAUGCAAGAGCAAGCAUUAAACCAGAGUCUAAAACUGAGCAGAAGGGGUUAGGCUAUGGGAGCUGCAUAGAUCCAGAGGUAACAGAUCCCAUCCAGCAAUCUAGAAGAAAGAAGGUACGCCCACCUUCUCCCCUUCCUAAGACCGUAUAUACCCAGACCAUUCUUGAAAGACAUUCUCACGGCUAAAGUGUCUCAUGUAAGAGAUGAUCCCCAGAGAGUAUUCAGCUCUGCAAGCAUUAGAAAGUUUUCUUAUUGUCUACCCCAAAUCUUACAAACUAAGCCUUUUACUUCUUGCCCUAUACAUGGAGAAAUGAAGAAUGAUUGACUAUCACCCUCGUUACAACUUUUUACGUCUUAAGAAACUGGUACGAUGUCCCCCCUUGUUUUCUCAGCUUUUCCUCACAGAUCUUAUUUUUCAUGUUGCUCUCCUUUUGAAGUCUUUUUUGUUUGUCAACAUCUUCUUUACAGUGUGCUGCAGACGUGGUGUUCUUGAUCUGAGGCACUAGUGUUGGGCUGAAUUAAAAUAAAAAACAAAAAACUCUCUUAUAUCUUAUAUAA
rnacentral:lncRNA from 1 species